UGCAUUGAAAGUGAAAGUCAUUUAGGAGAGAAAAGAAAUAUUUUUUUCAAUGCCAGACAAAAGUUGUUUUAAGAAUCAUUUUUUGUUAUUGUCCUGUACAGUUCAAUUUUGAAAUCAGUAGAAUAUAUUUGUAAAUGGCAGACAAAAACAUGUAGAAUAAAUUAAGAUCUUGUUGUUUAUCACACAGGUAUAAGUUACACACAAUAACGUCCCCCAACUACAAAGCAAGACUACAAAAAAUCUGCUACAAGAACUCAAAUAUGAAGACUAUUACAAAAAACAAGAUAUUGCUUUUAUCACAUGCAUUGGCAACAGAAAAGAAACGUACUGUUUCAUUGGCAAAGAAAUUGAAGAAAAUACAAACCAAUAAACACCAAUUACAUCAGCCAGCAGAUCCAGUGAACCGUGACGAUAAUAUCGAUCAACACCAAAUUCUACGCAAAGAUCAGAACUCAAUGGCCGAUAACUCCCUAUUCCUAAAUUCAAUUAACAAUCUAUCAUUCGCUUCACUGCAUGUUCCGGAGUGUAAAGCAAUUGACAAUGAGGAAGAAAUUGAUAGAAAAUCUUUUGAGCAGUGGAAGGAACUACUUGACGCUUCUAUGAUACUCGCCGGUGUAGCUGAUGAACAAAUAAAGUUUAGUAUAUUUAAAAUAAAAGCAGGACCCAAGUUGCUUGACAUAUUUGAAGGAACGAAGAACUCUAUAAAUUUCCCACCCGAAGAUGAAAAACCAUAUUCGAAUGCGAUUUCUCGACUAAAAUAGUUUUUUGGAUCUCGUGAUUAUUGUCUAAUGCAGCGACAAAAGCUUCGAUCAAUGGCACAAGGCUCCGUCGAAUCUGACUUGAAAUACGUAAAAAGAAUAGUUAACGUUGCUAAGCUUUGUGAUUACAGCGAAGAUGUCAUGAUAGAGAACGUAUUAGACGUUAUCCAGUCUCAUGCUAUAAACCCUGUCGUUAGGGAAAUCGGUCGAAAAAUAAUGAGGAAAUGUGGUUCUUUGGCUGAUCUAUUAGGAAAAGUUCGUGCUUGUGAGAUAAGUAGAAUAAAUGAAGAUUUGUUUGCAAAAAACCAUCAACAAACAAAUCAUGCAGAAUUAGCUGCAGUGUCGACCCAUACAGAGAAUGGAUUUAAGUCUCGUUCCCAGAAUCGUUUUCAUCGUAAAGAUGGUUUCCCAAAAAACGUAUUUGUAAAACAGCAGAAUGGAACUCAUAAUCCAUGUUGGAGAUGCACAAGCACAUAUCAUCUACCCGCAGCUUGUCACGCAGUUGAUAAAUUCUGCAGGAACUGCCAAAAGAAAGGACAUAUUGCAAGAGCUUGUCGUGAAACAGUUCCAGCUCCAUCAAAACGAUAUAAUAAUAACAACGAUAAUCCAGUACCAAAAGUCCGUAAACUUUUGGCAAUUACUAAGGAUAGUGAUAAUGAUGAUAGUGAAUCAAAUCCUCAAAAGUAUAAUGAAGUGUAUCGUGUAAAUGAUCUUUACAAACAUAAUGAUAAUGAGGGUAUUAUUAUCGGUUUUAUAACCGGAGUCCCAAUAUCGUUUUUAAUUGAUUCGGGAGCUGAAGUUAACACUAUCAGUACAGAAGAUUUUAAUCGGUUAUUAACAAGUGAAUCCGCAAAAAAAACCUUGCUUAUCAUGAAAAAGGGAUCCGACAUACCAUUAAAGGCUUACGCGUCUGAAAAUGCAAUUCCUGUAAUUGUAACAUUCGUAGCUGAACUAUUUGUUUCGGAAGAUCGCCCGCGUUUUUAUGAAAAAUUUUAUGCUGUCGCUAACGGAAGAGCAUUGAUGAGUCGAAGUACAGCAAUCCGUUACAGUGUUCUACAAAUUGGAUUGAAUGUUCCUGUAUUUCAAUCUUCCAGUAUGCUUCUUCAAGGAGAAAUUCGAGUGAUAAAUACAUCACAAGAGUUUCCAGUAUUCAAUGUACCACCUGUUAAACUAUCAUACGAUUCAACGAAACCACCAUCUAGAAACAUUUACACAAACAUUCCACCAGCUUUCAAAGAAGAAACAAAAAAAAGACUUUUUGAUCUUUUGGCAUCUGGAAUCAUUGAAUUUGUCACUGAAGACAUGGACAGGUCCUUCUGUUCUUCUUUAUUAGUUGUGCCUAAAGGUAAAAACGAUAUCAGACUAGUGGUGGAUUUAAGAGGACCGAAUAAAUGUAUUAUAAGAACUCCAUUUCGUAUGCCAACUUUAGAAUGUAUACUGGCAGAUCUGUCGGAGGCUAAUUGGUUUUCUACAAUAGAUUUAACGAGUGCUUUUUUCCACGUGGUUCUUCACGAAGAUUCAAGACAUUUAACCAAUUUUUUUGCCGGACAAGCAACAUACAGAUUUAAAAGACUUCCUUUCGGACUUUGUAAUGCUCCUGACAUAUUCCAAGAAAUUCUCCAGACUAUAGUUUUGGCAAACUGUCCAGGAACUCGCAACUAUUUAGACGACAUCAUUGUUUUUGGAAAGAAUAAAGCAGAGCACGACCAAAAUCUUAAUAACGUUUUAAGCCGAUUACAGGAGCAUAACGUGAAUAUAAAUAUUAAAAAAUGUUCAAUUGGUAAACAAUCGGUUAAAUUUUUGGGAUUUACUAUGUCACACGAUGGAAUGAAAAUAGAAGAUAGUAAAUUGUCCGCAAUUAAGCAAUUCCGUAGACCAGAAACUACAUCGGAGGUUAAGAGCUUCCUUGGACUCAUGAAUUUUACAGAAAGAUUCAUCCAGAACAGGGCGGACAAAACAGAAAAACUUAGAAAUCUUGCAAAAGCUGUUGAAUUUUAUUGGAGUCAAGAUGAAGAAGAUGAAUUCCAUUUUCUUAAGAACGAAGCAUUGAAGUCCAUUACAAAGUUAGGAUAUUUCAACUACAAAGAUAAUACGGAGUUGUAUGUUGAUGCUUCUCCCGUCGGCUUGGGUGCAGUUUUAGUACAAUUUAAUUAGAAGGGCACCCCUAGAGUUAUUGCUUGUGCAUCAAAAGCUCUAACUAACUCUGAACAAAAAUAUCCACACACACAAAAAGAGGCUUUGGCUAUAGUAUGGGGCAUAGAGAGAUUCUCAUUUUAUCUCAUGAACAAGACAUUUUCUGUGCGUACAGAUUCCGAGGCAAAUGAAUUCAUUUUCGGAGACGGUCAUAAAAUAAGCAAAAGAGCUGUUUCUCGCGCCGAAGCAUGGGCCUUAAGAGUUCAAGCAUAUGAUUUCACUAUUAAACGUAUCCCAGGACAUUUGAAUGUGGCAGACGCAUUAUCUCGAUUAAUAAAAAGGACUCAGAUUGAUGAGCCUUUCGACGAAGAAAAUAAUAAACAUCUUUUAUAUGCCUUAGACGCAGGAUCAAUGGAUAUAACAUGGCAAGAAAUGGAAUCAACAUCAGAACUAGACGAUGAACUUCGGUCAAUUAGAAUGGCUAUACAGACGAAAAGAUGGCCGGAAAAUCUACGCCGCUUUGAAGCACAAAAAAUGAAUUACGAACUUAUGGGUCAAUGAUUUUUAAAGCCGAUUUAAUUAUUUUACCUAACGUUCUUCGAUCAAAAGCCGUUAAAUCAGCUCAUCAAGGACACAUAGGAUGUGCUGCGAUGAAAAAGAUAAUGAGAGAGUUUUUCUGGUGGCCCGGAAUGAGUAAGGAUGUAGAAACAUUUGUAAAGAAAUGUGAAACAUGCCUGGCAAUGUCAAGAAAAAAUCCUCCUAUUCCUCUAUCAAGUCGUGAGCUGCCAGAUGGUCCAUGGGAGAUAUUACAAAUAGAUUUUUUGGCCGUCCCUAAUUGUGGUUCUGGCGAUUUUCUUAUAGUAGUUGAUACUUACUCCAGAUACCUCGCAGUAGUAGAGAUGAGAAGCACAGAUGCUCGAUGCACUAAUUCAGCUCUUUGUAGAAUAUUUUACACAUGGGGUUUGCCACUUAUUUUGCAAAGUGAUAACGGACCCCCCUUUCAAGGAAAUGAAUUCAUCAAUUAUUGGGAAGAAAAAGGUGUAAAAGUUAGAAAAUCUAUACCUCUAAGUGCUCAGUCUAAUGGUGCUGUUGAGCGCCAAAACCAAGGGAUAAUAAAAGCCUUAGCCGCAGCUAAAGAAGACAGAAUAAAUUGGAAGCAUGCUCUUGAAAAAUACGUACAUGUACAUAAUAAUGUUAAACCACAUUCUAGACUCAAUAUAACGCCAUUCGAAUUAUUAGUUGGCUGGAAAUACAGAGGUAUAUUUCCUUGCCUUUGGGAAAACAAAUCUUCAGAUAAAAUAGAUCGUUGCGAUAUUCGUGAUAAAGAUGCAGUUUCAAAACUCGUUAGUAAAAAAUAUGCCGAUGAUUACAGAGGAGCAAAAGAAUCAGAAAUAUCAACGGGAGACAUAGUUGUGAUGGCUAUUCCAAAGAACUCGAAAACCGAUCGAUCAUUCUCAAAGGAAAGAUACAAAGUUCUUACAAGACAUGGGGCCAAGUUGGUCAUUAGAAGCGAUCGAGGAGUUCAGUACACUCGCAACAUUCAGGAUUUAAAAUUGGCUCCAGAGAACAUAGAUCUUGAUACUCCGUCCUUAAGCCAAGAGGAUAAAUCGGGUAACAGUGUUACUUCAACUGAUGAUAUAGAAGAUUUGAAUAUUAAUUCACAUUUUACACAAGAAACUGAAGGCAUCUUCAAUGAUUCUUUGUGGGAUGACCAAAACCAGUAUCCAGAAAGAAAAAGAAGAAUUAUCAGAAAACCCGCUAAGUUUAAUGAUAUGUUUUUAUACCAUGUGUUCCAAUGAUGUAUUAUUGUUUUAAUUUAAUAGAUUAAGAGUAGGAGUGAAGGUGAAUGUAGAGAAUAGAUGAAUGAAUGUAAAUAUAUAUUAGGUCAAAGCUAGUAGUCUGUUAAAAAAAUUACAUAUGAACAUAACAACGAUAACGAUAACAACGAGACAAGAUCGAGGCGCUGCAUAGCAGCAGUUUCUAUGGUUUUAUUAGUUACUAUUGCUAAAUGAAAAAUAUCAGUCAGUUUAGAAGCAGACCUUGAAGAGAGCGGUCCUAAAAAUAUACCAAGUUUUCGCUUAGAAUAAAUUAUUUAAAUUUUGUUAAAGAAAAGUAAAAUAGAAGUGUAUUCGGAACAAUGGGAGGACAAAAUAAACCAUCAAGUCACGACAAUAACCAUUCAGGUAAUCGAAAAUGUUGUAUUCAAUUGCUGUCACUUGGCGGAGAACGAAGACAGCAAAAGGCAGAACAAAAAACCUCUUCAUUUCACCAGAAGCGUUUCAUAUUGAAAAUUUUCAAUGGUAAAUGAACGUCAUUUAUGUUAGUUACGUAGUGGUCGUUUUAUGUAAGUGAAGGUAUGCAGAAUAAUAUAACAGUUAAUUGUAAAACAAGUUUUUCAUGUGUUAAAUAGAUAUUCCUACAAAAUACAUGUUUUAAUUUCAUCUGAGAGUAAUGUAUUCUAGGAAAGUUCAUGUCAAUGUUAUUAAAACCGCUUAACGCUUGAAAAUUUGUUGCUAAAGUGAAGUGGUACUAUUUGUAUUUUCUUGAAAGUGUAUCUGUAGCAUUAGAUUUACCAGCGAGCCAUUCUACAAGUGAAGGAAAAAUUUCCUAAUUCCCUGUGACCAUUUUUCUGGUGAGUUCCCUUUUGAGAGUUGUAAUCUUUUGGUUCAUUUCCAUAUCCUUUGUGAGUUUAGUGAUAAAGAUAUAAGCAGUUAAUUAGGUAAAAUUUCGUUGUUCAAGCAGUGAACGAUUAGCUGCCCCCCGAAGAGGGUAACAGUAAGAAAUAUUUA